rnacentral:rRNA from 1 species
AGGGUUUGAUUAUGGCUCAGGACGAACGCUGGCGGCGUGCUUAACACAUGCAAGUCGAACGAAGAUACCGAGUGCUUGCACUUGGUAGACUGAGUGGCGGACGGGUGAGUAACGCGUGAGCAACCUGCCCAUAAGAGGGGGACAACAGCUGGAAACGGCUGCUAAUACCGCAUAAGACCACACUAGCACAUGCUAGAGGGGUAAAAGAUUUAUCGCUUAUGGAUGGGCUCGCGUCCCAUUAGCUAGUUGGUGAGGUAACGGCUCACCAAGGCGACGAUGGGUAGCCGACCUGAGAGGGUGAUCGGCCACACUGGAACUGAGACACGGUCCAG